CCCCUCUCAGGGUCACACCUGGAGAGUUUCCAGUACUCUAUCAGUUUCAGCUAUGGGAGGGAGAGUCAAGCAGAGGCCAUUCCAUUCCUAGCUUGGGCAGUGGCUAGCGAGGAGAAGGCAUUCUGCUACAAGU